AUCUAUAUUUGGUAAUAUCUGGAGAAAACUCUGAUAAACCUGGUGUGGGCUCCUUAGGGCAAGUGAGAUCGCAAGGGCCAUGGUAAGAUAGCUUCUCCUGUCUUACUGCAGGAAGUCCUCAUCCCUGAGAUGAAGUGGAGAAAGGUAUGCCCUUCCUCCAGGUCCCUGUCUCUCCCAGACAACAUCCCUUGUAUCCCUCCAUCAUCCGUGGACUCCACAGACAGUUUCUUCCCCUCCAGGAAGCCUCCAAUGUCUGAAUGCUGUCUAUGAGGAGGAUGAGCUGGAGGAGGAGCCCAGGAGCACUGGGGAGCUGAGGCUCUGGGAUUACCGGCUCCUCAAGGUCUUCUUUGUGCUGAUCUGCUUCCUGGUCAUGUCCUCAUCCUACCUGGCGUUCCGUAUUUCUCGGCUAGAGCAGCAGUUAUGCUCCUUGAGUUGGGAUGACCCAGUCCCUGGGCACAGGUAACAGCCACUUGGCCUUUGUCCCCAUUCCUUCUCCAAGAAGAAUGUUCUGGGUGCUAAGUCUCCACCAAUGAUCCCUGUGGUUUAUGCUGCUGCUGUGCUAAG
rnacentral:lncRNA from 1 species